AAGCGAAGGCAAUCUUCUGGAACAUUACUGACGCUGAGGCGCGAAAGCGUGGGGAGCAAACAGGAUUAGAUACCCUGGUAGUCCACGCCCUAAACGAUGAAUGUUAGUCGUCGGGUAGCUAGUCUAUUCGGUGAUGCAGCUAACGCAUUAAACAUUCCGCCUGGGGAGUACGGUCGCAAGAUUAAAACUCAAAGGAAUAGACGGGGACCCGCACAAGUGGUGGAGCAUGUGGUUUAAUUCGAAGAUACGCGAAGAACCUUACCUAGCCUUGACAUAUUAAAGAACACCCUAGAGAUAGAGUGGUGCCUUCGGGAGCUUUUUUACAGGUGCUGCACGGCUGUCGUCAGCUCGUGUCGUGAGAUGUUGGGUUAAGUCCCGCAACGAGCGCAACCCUCACUUUUAGUUGCCAUCAUUAAGUUGGGCACUCUGAAAGAACUGCCAGUGAUAAGCUGGAGGAAGGUGGGGAUGACGUCAAGUCCUCAUGGCCCUUACGUGUUGGGCUACACACGUGCUACAAUGGCAUCUACAACAGGAAGCAAAACGGCAACGUUAAGCAAAUCCCGAAAAGAUGCCUCAGUUCGGAUUGCACUCUGCAACUCGAGUGCAUGAAGCUGGAAUUACUAGUAAUCGUGGAUCAGCGUGCCACGGUGAAUGCGUUCCCGGGUCUUGUACACACCACCCGUCACACCAUGGGAGUUGGUUCUACCUUAAGGCAAGGUUUUAAACCCUUGACCACGGUAUAGUCAGCGACUGGGGUGAAGUCGUAACAAGGUAGCCGUA
rnacentral:rRNA from 1 species